rnacentral:rRNA from 1 species
UACGUAGGGGGCAAGCGUUGUCCGGAAUCAUUGGGCGUAAAGCGCGUGUAGGCGGCUCGAUAAGUCUGCUGUGAAAGUCCAGGGCUCAACCCUGGGAUGCCGGUGGAUACUGUCGAGCUCGAGUCCGGAAGAGGCGAGUGGAAUUCCUGGUGUAGCGGUGAAAUGCGCAGAUAUCAGGAAGAACACCCGUGGCUAAGGCGGCUCUCUAGUACGGUACUGACGCUGAGACGCGAAAGCGUGGGGAGCGAACAGG